GAUGAAGAACGUAGCGAAAUGCGAUAAGUAAUGUGAAUUGCAGAAUUCAGUGAAUCAUCGAAUCUUUGAACGCACAUUGCGCCCGUCAGUAUUCUGGCGGGCAUGCCUGUUCGAGCGUCAUUACGCCCCUCAAGUCCCCUGUGGACUUGGUGUUGGGGAUCGGCGGGGCUGGUUUUCCAGCACAGCCGUCCCUUAAAUUAAUUGGCGGUCUCGCCGUGGCCCUCCUCUGCGCAGUAGUAAAACACUCGCAACAGGAGCCCGGCGCGGUCCACUGCCGUAAAACCCCCCAACUUUUUAUAGUUGACCUCGAAUCAGGUAGGACUACCCGCUGAACUUAAGCAUAUCAAUAAGCGGAGGA
rnacentral:misc_RNA from 1 species